rnacentral:rRNA from 1 species
AAGUCGUAACAAGGUUUCCGUAGGUGAACCUGCGGAAGGAUCAUUACCGAGCGAGGGCGCUCCGACGCCGACCUCCCAACCCUCUUGUUCCGAACCCACACCUCUGUUGCCUCGGGGCGACCCGGCCGCCUCAGCGCCGGGGCCCCGGCGGACCACAACAACCCAAACCCUGCAUCUCUGCGUCGGAGUGAACAAGCGAAAAUCAAUCAAAACUUUUCAACAACGGAUUCUCUUGGUUUCUGGCAUCGAUGAAGAACGCAGCGAAAUGCGAUAAGUAAUGUGAAUUGCAGAAUUCAGUGAAUCAUCGAAUCUUUGAAACGCACAUUGCGCCCCCCUGGCAUUCCGGGGGGCAUGCCUGUUUCGAGCGUCAUUACACCACUCAAGCCUGGCUUGGCGUUGGGCGACGGGGCCCCGGCCCCGCGCCUCAAAUUCACCGGCUGGACGGACCGUAACCUCAGCGUUGUGGCACAACAAGCUCGCUGCGGGGGCGGCCCGGCCGCGCCGUCAAAAACACCCACUCAAGGUUGACCUCGGAUCAGGUAGGGAUACCCGCUGAAACUUAA